UACGGAGGGUGCAAGCGUUAUCCGGAUUCACUGGGCUUAAAGGGAGCGUAGGUGGGCAGGUAAGUCAGUGGUGAAAUCUCCGAGCUUAACUCGGAAACUGCCAUUGAUACUAUCUGUCUUGAAUUAUCUGGAGGUAAGCGGAAUAUGUCAUGUAGCGGUGAAAUGCUUAGAUAUGACAUAGAACACCCAUUGCGAAGGCAGCUUACUACGGAUAUAUUGACACUGAGGCUCGAAAGCGUGGGGAUCAAACAGG
rnacentral:rRNA from 1 species